AUUGAACGCUAGCGGGAUGCUUUACACAUGCAAGUCGAACGAGUGGCGGACGGGUGCGUAAUAUAUCUGAACGUGCCCAGUAGCGGGGGAUAACUCCUCGAAAGAGAGGCUAAUACCGCAUUCUAUUGGAUCGGCCGAUAUCGGAUUUUCGAGUUGGUGGGGUAAAGGCUCACCAAGGCCACGAUCCGUAGCUGGUUUGAGAGGACGACCAGCCACACUGGGACUGAGACACGGCCCAGACUCCGACGGGAGGCAGCAGUGGGGAAGUUUGGACAAUGGGGGAAACCCUGAUCCAGCCAUCCCGCGUGUAUGAGAAGGCCGUCGGGUGGUAAAGUACUUUUGGCAGAGAAGCGGUAUCAGCAGAAUAAGCACCGGCUAACUACGUGCCAGCAGCCGCGGUAAUAC
rnacentral:rRNA from 1 species